rnacentral:rRNA from 1 species
UAUCCGGAUUUACUGGGUGUAAAGGGAGCGCAGACGGCGAUGCAAGUCUGGAGUGAAAGCCCGGGGCUCAACCCCGGGACUGCUUUGGAAACUGUAUGGCUAGAGUGCUGGAGAGGCAAGCGGAAUUCCUAGUGUAGCGGUGAAAUGCGUAGAUAUUAGGAAGAACACCAGUGGCGAAGGCGGCUUGCUGGACAGUAACUGACGUUCAGGCUCGAAAGCGUGGGGAGCAAAC